AUAAAAAGAAAUGCUCUGGCGUGAUCUGGACCGUUAAAAGACCACCGCUUGAUCAGCACCGUUCGUCUGAAAUGAAACUCAGGCUAUAAAUAGCCCUUAGAUCGAGUCAGCGUCCCAGAUCGUUCUAGAAUCGAUCAGAAAUUUCGACCCGUUUCUCCAGCCCUUGACCUGCGAUGAUAACCCGAUCGGAACUUCCCUCGUCCGGCGACUUCACAGCGGUGCACCGGUCAUGCCCGAUGCGUCUUCUCAUCGUGGUUCCUCCUGUGGUUACGGAUCAUCCAUGCAUGGAGCGAGGAGAGAGAAUCGAAGCCCAAAAGCUUCGGGUUUUCCGGCGAAGUUUCCUGAAAUUUCCGGCGAUCUUCGGGGCUGCAUGUGGUAUGGAAAUCGAUCCUCUCGGUGAGCUCUACGUACUGGUAUACUUAGUUUUCAGUUUUGGAUGGCUUUUGAUGAAUUGAUGUUUUGGUUGUUUCCGGGUACCGACGAGCUCACUGUACACGGUGAUGGUGGGAAACUGAAACUUAACUGGGUUGAGAAGCAAUAUAAGGAUUUUCCAUUAAGUCAGAAUUGAGAAGGAUGGAGAGCGUUGGACGAUGAAGGUAAACAAAGAAGGAAACAGAAAGAGAGUAGAGAAUGUUCAGUUGCUUGGUCCAACAACGCAGCAGGAAGAAGGAGUUUAAAAUAAAGAAUUUAUAAGGACUCCAGUUACCCGAAGAACGGAAUGUUCGUGACUCUCGGAGUACGUGAAGAAAAGCAUCGGAAUCCAGUGUGGAUGCAGGUACUGUGCACUGGUGACGGGAUUGACGGACGGAGCAGGGUGCGCGGAGAUAGUUUCGGUGAAUAGUAGUAACUGAAUUCAGGUUCCGUGUCUAGUCUUGAACUCUAUCACUUGAGAGUCGUUAAUUUGGAACUUGUUAUUCCUUAUUUCGUCUUGUAUCGGAGUGUACCAACUCUUAUUUACCCUAGUGGAGAUCUAGAAGCGCUUUAGAUGAAUAAGUUCGAUAAAUGAUUCUAAAAAGUUUUCACCUCGAAAAGUAUUUCAACGUUUCCGCUACGCGAUUUAUGAAAAGCGAUUUAACUAAAAUGCCUUGCGGGUUUUUAGGAUGUAAACUGAACAUUCAGUUUAUGUCUUAGAGACACGCGGCACUGUGACGUGCUCAAGCUGAUGAGGUGCAGUUUGGGGCGU